rnacentral:rRNA from 1 species
CGUAGGUGGCAAGCGUUGUCCGGAUUUAUUGGGUUUAAAGGGUGCGUAGGCGGUUUUCUAAGUCAGCAGUGAAAUACGGCAGCUCAACUGUCGAGGUGCUGUUGAUACUGGGGAGCUUGAGUACUGAUGAGGUAGGCGGAAUGGACGGUGUAGCGGUGAAAUGCUUAGAGAUCGUCCAGAACACCGAUAGCGAAGGCAGCUUACUAAGGAGUAACUGACGCUGAGGCACGAAAGUGUGGGGAUCAAACAGGAUUAGAUACCCUGGUAGUCCACACUGUAAACGAUGAUUACUCGAUGUGUGCGAUACACAGCACGCGUCUUAGCAAAAGCGAUAAGUAAUCCACCUGGGGAGUACGCCGGCAACGGUG